rnacentral:rRNA from 1 species
AACGAACGCUGGCGGCAUGCCUAACACAUGCAAGUCGAACGAGCCCUUCGGGGUUAGUGGCGCACGGGUGCGUAACGCGUGGGAAUCUGCCCUUGGGUUCGGAAUAACAGUGAGAAAUUACUGCUAAUACCGGAUGAUGUCUUCGGACCAAAGAUUUAUCGCCCAAGGAUGAGCCCGCGUAGGAUUAGCUAGUUGGUGGGGUAAUGGCCUACCAAGGCGACGAUCCUUAGCUGGUCUGAGAGGAUGAUCAGCCACACUGGGACUGAGACACGGCCCAGACUCCUACGGGAGGCAGCAGUGGGGAAUAUUGGACAAUGGGCGAAAGCCUGAUCCAGCAAUGCCGCGUGAGUGAUGAAGGCCUUAGGGUUGUAAAGCUCUUUUACCCGGGAUGAUAAUGACAGUAACGGGAGAAUAAGCACCGGCUAACUACGUG